rnacentral:rRNA from 1 species
GAUGAACGCUGGCGGCGUGCCUAACACAUGCAAGUCGUACGAUCAGGCCCUUACCGUGCUCCUCUGACGUUAGCGGCGUGCGUAUGAGUAACGUAUGCUUCCCCUACCUAUGAGACUAGGAUAACUACGUGAUGCCAGUGCUGAUACUGGGUAAUAUCUUCAACGGCGUGGUUCAAUAGUUCAGGACGGUUUUGCUGUCCCUUCUAGCUGUCUCCUUGCCGCAUUAGUUGUUUGGUAAGGUAACGGCGUACUAAGGCAACGAUGCGUAGCCGACCUGAGAGGGUGAUCGGCGACACUGGAACUGAGACACGGUCCAGACUCCUACGGGAGGCAGAAGUAGGGAAUGUUGCGCAAUGGGCGAAAGCUUGACCGAGCAACGCCGCGUGAGUGAAGAAGGUCUUCGGAUCGUAAAACUCUGUUAUUAGGGAAGACCAAAUGCAGCAGUAACUAUGCACGUCUUGACGGUACCUAAAGAGAAAGCACCGGCUAACUACGUG